AUCGCUUGUCCGCCUUUUGGCUAAGAUCAAGUGUAGUGUCUGUUCUUAUCAGAAGUUACUUUCUGGUUUUGUCCCACAAGUUAUGAUUGUUUAACCUAAUAAUUACAUUACUCAGAUAUAGGGCAAGUCUU
rnacentral:snRNA from 1 species